UGUAGUCAAGACCGCCUAAACCGAGACCAAGACACUACCAAGACCAGAGGGUAUCGAGACCAAGACAGACCAAGUCGAGACCGAGACCGAGACCAAACCGAGACCGGAGGGGGGAAAAAAAACAGACUAGUGUUGUUGAAGCUAAGCAAUAACUUGUAAGAUUUUGUUUUGCAUUGCCUGCCUAUCUCUGCCGAUUUCGAAGUCUCCAAAUGAAUCCAUUCUGCAACUUUUAAAUACAUAAUUAUA